UUAAAUAUGAAAUAUAUUGUAAUGUAAACCUAUAAAAAUAAUAGCGAAACUUAUAUGGAAGUUCUGUUUAAUCGAUAUUAAAGUUUCCUUUAAAUAUAAUCUGUAUUGAGAUUUAGUAACCCUCAGAAGCCGAGGCUAUAAAAAAUAUUGUCGAAAUUGACAUAAAGAUUUAAGUUCCGUUCCAGAAUUAGUGUUCAGAAGUACUGGAGGGCUGUAAAACUUCAAACGGUCGUAAACCCUACAAUAAGGAACGGUGUUCUGGAUGCUGGGGUUACGACAGUUUUGUUAAAUCUGGGUUAACUUCUUGCGGCUAGUUAUGUGCUAACUGAUUAAAUUUGAUAAUAAAAGACAUACAGUUGUAAAUUUACAUAAUAUGUUUGUUUAUAUCCGGCCAGGGAUUAAUAAAUAAUUCGUAUAUGUACAGAAUCUUGAUAAUGAAAGUCCAAACCUUACAAAAUACUUGUUUAAUGUUCGUUAUAUACAUAAAGAACUGUGAAGUGUUACAAACCCAAAGAAAGAUUUCAGAGGAAUAUAAUUAGCACUUCUCAUAAUCAUUCGGUUAGCAAACAAACGAUUAAAAAUCCUUCAAAGUUAAAUAACAAUUAAAAUUUUCUUUUUGUCUCACAAGCAUUAUAUAACAUUGGCUGUUUUAGAAUAUUAAAAUCCAUAUACUCAAUAAUAUUUUAAUUACAAAAAAAAAUAUAAAUUGUACUAAAUGUUUUUUUUUUUCAGAUUAAUAACUACCCCAAAAUGUAUCAUAUGGAAGAUGUUAUUUUUUUGACAUGACUGGAAAACCUACCGUGUUUGUUCCGAAAAAUGUAGUUGAGUGUGAAGAAACCAACCAACUCAUUACCUAUAUCUGAAGUCCUACAGGCAUUGAGUCAUCGUGAUAUUUUAAUAUUUGGUCUCAUCACUUUACCAAGAAAAUUCUAAAGGGAAAAUAAAAAAGCUGCAAGUCGGGGCACACCUCCUCAGCCAUGACUAAAGCACAUUGUUUUAUAAGUUCGCUGUCGGUAAAUGGUCGGCCAGAC